AGCCCAUCCAUCAUGUUUACUGUCUUCUUACGCUAGUAAUACUAGUGUUUCAUAAUCCUUAAGAUCUAUGGAAAACUGAUGGAACUUCACCGUUUCAUCCCAGGGAUACUAGGAAGUAAGGCCAUUUCAUCAUUUCUUAAUAUUUUCAACCCUGACAUUAUUUUAGUCAGGGACCUUCUUACUUCUCCUUACCAGAUGGAAUUCACUUGCUUAAUUUGUGGGUUUUGACACUAUUUGUGCCCUUUUGCUACACAAGUGCUUCCCGGGGUUUCCAUGGGGCCCGCAAUCGUCAGGCCACUCUUGGCCUCUUAGAAACCCACUCGUCAGAGAGAGAGGUUCAAAGAUGGCGGCCCCUCAGCCUGGGCUCCUGAGCGCCACCUGCCCUUGGCGUCACAGACUCUGAGAAUUCCGAGACUUGAUGUUCCAGACACCUCCUGGCAGUUUCUACCAGUCAAGAUGGGUUCCCUCAGGCCUAAUGGGCGGGGGCCGUGACUGACUGUGUGUAUCCCUUGAACUUGGAUUGUGCUUGGCACGUGCUGCCCAUGGGAAGACUGAAAAGGUAAGUUGGGGCCUCUAUACUCUGGGGACAAAUGUGGAGGGUGUGGCCC